GCGCGAAAACUUUACAAUGCCGGCAACGGCGAUAAGGGAACCUCGAGUGCCAGGUUACAAAUCUGGCUGUCGUGAUGCCUAAAAAGCAUUGCAUAGCAAGGGCCGGGCAAGACCGGUGCCAGCCGCCGCGGUAACACCGGCGGCUCGAGUGGUAACCGUUAUUAUUGGGUCUAAAGGGUCUGUAGCCGGCCGGAUAAGUCUCUUGGGAAAUCUGGCAGCUUAACUGUCAGGCUUUCAGGAGAUACUGUCUGGCUCGAGGCCGGGAGAGGUGAGAGGUACUUCAGGGGUAGGGGUGAAAUCUUGUAAUCCUUGAAGGACCACCAGUGGCGAAGGCGUCUCACCAGAACGGACCUGACGGCAAGGGACGAAAGCUAGGGGCACGAACCGGAUUAGAUACCCGGGUAGUCCUAGCUGUAAACGAUACUCGCUAGGUGUCGGCCACGGUGCGACCGUGGUCGGUGCCGUAGGGAAGCCGUGAAGCGAGCCACCUGGGAAGUACGGCCGCAAGGCUGAAACUUAAAGGAAUUGGCGGGGGAGCAC
rnacentral:rRNA from 1 species